UACGGAGGGUGCAAGCGUUAAUCGGAAUUACUGGGCGUAAAGCGUGCGUAGGUGGUUUGUUAAGUCCGUUGUGAAAGCCCCGAGCUCAACUUGGGAAUUGCAGUGGAUACUGGCAAGCUGGAGUGCGGUAGAGGAAGGUGGAAUUCCCGGUGUAGCGGUGAAAUGCGUAGAGAUCGGGAGGAACACCAGUGGCGAAGGCGGCCUUCUGGACCAGCACUGACACUCAAGCACGAAAGCGUGGGUAGCAAACAGG
rnacentral:rRNA from 1 species